CCCAAAACCAGAUGAGCUACCCAAGAACAGCUGAAAGAGCACACCCACCUAUGUGGCAAAAUAGGGGGAAGAUUCAUGAGUAGCAGCGAUAAGCCUACGGAGCCUGGUGAUAGCUGG
rnacentral:ncRNA from 2 species